rnacentral:rRNA from 1 species
AUUGAACGCUGGCGGCAGGCCUAACACAUGCAAGUCGAGCGGAGCGGCGGACGGGUGAGUAAUGCCUAGGAAUCUGCCUGGUAGUGGGGGAUAACGUCCGGAAACGGGCGCUAAUACCUCCUACUAUCAGAUGAGCCUAGGUGGGAUUAGCUAGUUGGUGGGGUAAAGGCCUACCAAGGCGACGAUCCGUAACUGGUAUGAGAGGAUGAUCAGUCAAACUGGAACUGAGACAAGGUCCAGACUCCUACGGGAGGCAGCAGUGGGGAAUAUUGGACAAUGGGCGAAAGCCUUAUCCAGCCAUGCCGCGUGUGUGAAGAAGGACUUCGGAUGGUAAAGCACUUUAAGUUGGGAGGCGUUACCAAGAGAAUAAGCACCGGCUAACUGCGUGCCAGCAGCCGCGGUAAUUC